GGCUCCGGGAGCCAGCUGGAGAUCGGGGACGGGCGCAGGCCUCGGCGAGCGGGCGGGGCGUGGGCUGAGCGGCGGGUGGCCGCCCAGAGUCCGGGGGGUGUGACCUUGGGAAAGACCAAGCCUAAGAGUCCCAACAGUCCAGUGGUUUUGAGAAGGCUAGGGAGUGCAGGCUGGGAAAAUUGGCAGGACAGGCGUCUGCCUUCCAAAGAUGCUGGGGAAAUAAUGGCCCCAAGAGGAAAAUAAGCCAGUUUCUGCACAUUUCCUUUCGUUAUGUGAGGACCGGCCCUGGAGGAGAUCCGCGAGGUCACGGACUGUUUUUUCUGUGUCCCGAGUGAAUCUGCACCAAGCCAUCUUUCAGAGAACCUUAGAGCCAGGGACCUUGAAACAAUGUUCCCCCCCUACUGGGGUAGGAAGUUUAGUUCUCUGUCACCAGUGGACUCAUUAGCACCACAUCCUUAAGCAGUAUCUGGCCUGAUUUCUAAAUAGACUGGAGCUCAGAAUCCCAGUGGCCAAGUGCUCUAAACGGGGACAAAUAAAUAUAAUACUUAGUAUUUAUUGAAGGUUUCCUAUGUGCCAGGAGGUGUUCCAAGCACUUAUAAUGAAAUUAAAGUGCCCUUGGCUAUUACUGUCAUCGAAGCCUCACAGCAACCCUGGUAGACAUUUUUAUCCCCAUUUUACAACGUUGGGCAAUGAAGGCAUAGGUAGGCCAAGUAAUUUGCCCAGGAUCUGUCUCCAAAGCCCUCGCCUUUAGCUUCUAUACUCCUGCUGCCUGCCAGUGAGGUGUAGGAUUUCUUCGGUUAGCUGAUAAAUAUUCCACUGCAGGGGAUGUCCUCUGUUGAAAUUGAGAUAGAAGAGUUUCCUGCAGGGGUAACUUGCAAAAGGCCAUAUAGAAAAGUGAAAUUUAAAAUUAGCUGGCAUGGGAAAGGUGCCUGUAUGAAAUGGAGCCUCUUGAGUCUACAGCAGAGGUUCCCAAACUAAUUAUUUUUUUUCAUAAUGCUGGUGAGCCAAAGGAAAGAUCUAUCAGUUUAUUAAGUAAUUAGGUCCAAACAACCCAGUAUUUACAUCCUAACAACUUAGUAGCUGUUUGAAAAAAUAAUACACAUAAUUCAAAGAAAAAAUUUUUUAUUUCAUUGUUCAAUAACCAUAACUAGUGAUGGGAAAUGUGCACCUGUUGUUCACUGCACCAACUUCUCAGUCUUUGGGAUCAGACUGGAAAUGUCCAUCUUUUUUUGUUCUACAUUGAUUUUUAACAUUGUACUUGCAUUUUGGUAAAAACUCAGCUUUGCAGAGAUGAGACACCAUUGAAAGGAAUUUAGCAAAAUUUAAUGUUUAAGCUGUGAGCCCCCUGCAGCUAGUAGUUUGAGAUGUUGUACAGAUUAUCACUUUGUUUCCCUGGAAAAUAUAAAAUUAUCCAUAGCACCCUGUGGAGUCCCUUAUGAGGCUGUAGGGCGCUUUGAUGCAUUGUUUGGGAAAUAUUGCAGAUCUUUUUUGUCUGUUUGUCUUAAUAACUAGUGUUUCAUUAUCAGCUGAAACAGUUAACAGUACUGAUGUAUAAAAGAUGUUGAAGCAUAAAAA